rnacentral:rRNA from 1 species
UACAGAGACCUCAAGCGUUAUCCGGAAUUAUUGGGCGUAAAGCGUACCGAUCGGUGGUUUUGUAAGCCAGUGGUGAAAUCUCCAAGCUCAACUUGGGGUCUGUCCAUUGGAACUGCAAGACUCGAGGGGCAAAAAGGAAGCUGGAACCAGUGGUGUAGUAGUGAAAUGCGUUGAUAUCACUGGGAACACCAAUAGCGAAGGCAGGCUUCUGGGUGCCACCUGACACUGCUAGGACGAAAGCGUGGGGAGCGAAUGGG